rnacentral:rRNA from 1 species
UGGUGACAAUGUCGGAGGGGAUACACCCGUUCCCAUCCCGAACACGGCAGUUAAGCCCUCUUGAGCCGAUGGUACUUGGGGCUUGCCCCUGGGAGAGUAGGUCGUUGCCA